GAUAUUUCAGCUACAUAGCAAGGAACAAUUAUGCUUUGCGGGUUAAUUUCCCUACAAGGUGAUCCAGCUCUUUGAAAUUCCAAAAAGAGAUAACAAAAUAUGCCACAGCUGACUAGUAAUCUUGUUCAAUUGAAAACAAAAAUUUUGAGCAAGGAUACCAUAGAAAUAGCACACUAAUAAAAACACGAUAAAGUUAAUCAAAGAGAAUGAAAGCAUCCCUUCUCUUUCAUGCGGUGCCAGAAGGAAAAAAUAAAAUAAAAUGCAGUUUUCCAAUGGAAAACUGUCACUGCCCCUAACAGCAUAGCUGAGUUCUGUGGAUGACUUUUCCACAUCAACGUACAGCUUACACAUUUCAGAAAUCCAGUCUAAUACUGCAAUGUCAGUCCUUCUUUGCUAGUGGGCCAGGCUGGGUGAUUUGUCUUGGUGUCUACCAGGCUGCCCUUCUCCCUUGAGGCUGCAUCUAAGGAUCUCAGAGCCCUUGCCACCUUGAAAUGUGCCCAUUUGGUGAAGCUACCAAGGGGUUUCUGCUCUUCUGAGAGACUUCUCAGAGACUGAAGAGUCAAGAAUGGAAGAUACCCAGCUGUGGGCCAUAAUGCCACCAACUGCAGAUGGCCUGGUGAACACGCACUUCCAGAACAAUACCAGGGGAGUGGAAGACAUUAGACAGAAGAUUGACUUUACCUGUUGUUGAUCUCCAUAAAUUACUUAAAUGGUGCUCUCAGUUAUAGCUUGCUUAGCUCCAAAUCUGGCUGUGAAGCCAGACCCAUCUGGCUGUGAACCCACACCCACCCAAUCCUCCUUAUAUCAAGUGUUUCUCCUUGUCAGGUGCACUGUUUGCACUGUUGCAGAUCUCACAGCAACACAUUUGUGAACAUAAGAUGAAUGCAGAAAAUAAAAAAAAAAAAAA